UCUCGAUUGGUCUAGUGGUAAGGAUACCUGCUUGUCAUUAUCCAACAAUACGCAGGUGGCCGGGGUUCGAUUCCCCGAUCGAGAG
rnacentral:tRNA from 1 species